rnacentral:rRNA from 1 species
UACGUAGGUGGCAAGCGUUGUCCGGAUUUACUGGGCGUAAAGAGCGCGCAGGCGGUCGUUCAAGUCGCGUGUGAAAGCCCCCGGCUCAACUGGGGAGGGUCACGCGAUACUGAUCGACUCGAAGGCAGGAGAGGGAAGUGGAAUUCCUGGUGUAGCGGUGAAAUGCGCAGAUAUCAGGAGGAACACCGGUGGCGAAGGCGGAUCUCUGGGCCUGUUCUGACGCUGAGGCGCGAAAGCUAGGGGAGCGAAAGGG